rnacentral:piRNA from 1 species
UGCCUGGUAAGGGCUUUUGGGUGUCGA